GGGCUAGAAGCGACGCAU
rnacentral:snRNA from 1 species